rnacentral:rRNA from 1 species
UACGUAGGGGGCAAGCGUUGUCCGGAAUCAUUGGGCGUAAAGAGCGUGUAGGCGGUUCGGUAAGUCGGCUGUGAAAGUCCAGGGCUCAACCCUGGGAUGCCGGUCGAUACUGCCGGACUAGAGUUCGGAAGAGGCGAGUGGAAUUCCCGGUGUAGCGGUGAAAUGCGCAGAUAUCGGGAGGAACACCAAUGGCGAAGGCAGCUCGCUGGGACGGUACUGACGCUAAGGCGCGAAAGCGUGGGGAGCGAACAGG